CUAGCGACUUCAGUAGUUUGAUCCUGGCUCAGGACGAACGCUGGCGGCGUGCCUAACACAUGCAAGUCGAGCGGAGCCAAUUAACAGAUCCCUUCGGGGUGACGUUGAGGAAGCUUAGCGGCGGACGGGUGAGUAACGCGUGAGUAACCUGCCUGUAAGAGGGGGAUAACACAGAGAAAUUUGUGCUAAUACCGCAUAUUGAGUAGAAUUCGCAUGAUUUCUACUUGAAAGAUUUAUCGCUUACAGAUGGACUCGCGUCUGAUUAGCUAGUUGGUGAGGUAACGGCUCACCAAGGCGACGAUCAGUAGCCGAACUGAGAGGUUGAUCGGCCACAUUGGGACUGAGACACGGCCCAG
rnacentral:rRNA from 1 species